rnacentral:rRNA from 1 species
AGGACGAACGCUGGCGGCGGGCUUAGCACAUGCAAGUCGAACGUGAAGCCCCCUUCGGGGGGUGGAAAGUGGCGCACGGGUGAGUAACGCGUAGGCAAUCUACCCUUAGCUGGGGAAUAACCAGGGGAAACCCUGGCUAAUACCGCAUAAUGUCCGAAGGUCGCAUGGCCAACGGAUCAAAGCGCAAGCGGCUAAGGAUGAGCCUGCGUUGGAUUAGCUUGUUGGCGGGUAACGCCACAAGGCUACGAUCCAUAGCGGGUCUGAGAGGAUGAUCCGCCACACUGGCACUGAGACACGGGCCAGACUCCUACGGGAGGCAGCAGUGAGGAAUAUGCGCAAUGGACGAAAGUCUGACGCAGCCACGCCGCGUGCAGGAAGACCACCCUCGAGGGCGUAAACUGACUUUUAGACGGAAGAACCACCCUGGUUACGCCAGGGAUUCGGACGGUACCGUAGUCGAAAGUAAGGACCGCUAACUCCGUAGCCCGAG